AGAGUCAUUGAAGCACUUGGGGGUUUAUCUGUGUCCUCAGCAUCACUUGAGUAGUGCUCUUGGUUCCUGUAGUCUGCAAUUUUUCCUCUGGAAAUCCAUUCCUUCUCCCAUACCAUUCAAAGAGUGUUUAUCCCAAAUUGUAUAGCUAAAAAUCUGUAGAGAUUCUCAAUAUCUCUUAGGAA